UUUCGGGGGUACACGAGUGGCGAACGGGUGAGUAACACGUGGGUGACCUGCCCUGUACUUCGGGAUAAGCCUGGGAAACUGGGUCUAAUACCGGAUAUGACCUUCUCCUGCAUGGGGGUUGGUGGAAAGCUUUUGCGGUACAGGAUGGGCCCGCGGCCUAUCAGCUUGUUGGUGGGGUAAUGGCCUACCAAGGCGACGACGGGUAGCCGGCCUGAGAGGGCGACCGGCCACACUGGGACUGAGACACGGCCCAGACUCCUACGGGAGGCAGCAGUGGGGAAUAUUGCACAAUGGGCGCAAGCCUGAUGCAGCGACGCCGCGUGAGGGAUGACGGCCUUCGGGUUGUAAACCUCUUUCAGUAGGGACGAAGCGCAAGUGACGGUACCUACAGAAGAWKYWYYKGCCAACUACGUGCCAGCAGCCGCGGUAAUACGUAGGGUGCAAGCGUUGUCCGGAAUUACUUGGGCGUAAAGAGCUCGUAGGCGGUUUGUCACGUCGUCUGUGAAAACCCGAGGCUUAACCUCGGGCCUGCAGGCGAUACGGGCAGACUUGAGUACUGUAGGGGAGACUGGAAUUCCUGGUGUAGCGGUGGAAUGCGCAGAUAUCAGGAGGAACACCGGUGGCGAAGGCGGGUCUCUGGGCAGUAACUGACGCUGAGGAGCGAAAGCGUGGGUAGCGAACAGGAUUAGAUACCCUGGUAGUCCACGCCG
rnacentral:rRNA from 1 species